GACGAACGCUGGCGGCGUGCUUAACACAUGCAAGUCGAACGAGAGCGUAGAGAAAGCUUGCUUUUUCUACAAUCUAGUGGCAAACGGGUGAGUAACGCGUAAACAACCUGCCCUACGGAUGGGGACAACAGCUGGAAACGGCUGCUAAUACCGAAUACGUUCCGAAAGUCGCAUGACUAUCGGAAGAAAGGAUGGCCUCUCUUUAUAAGCUAUCGCCGGAGGAGGGGUUUGCGUCUGAUUAGCUAGUUGGAGGGGUAACGGCCCACCAAGGCGACGAUCAGUAGCCGGUCUGAGAGGAUGAACGGCCACAUUGGAACUGAGACACGGUCCAGACUCCUACGGGAGGCAGCAGUGGGGAAUCUUCCGCAAUGGGCGAAAGCCUGACGGAGCAACGCCGCGUGAGUGAAGACGGCCUUCGGGUUGUAAAGCUCUGUUAUACGGGACGAAUAAUCUUGUGGUUAAUACCCAUGAGAAGUGACGGUACCGUAAGAGAAAGCCACGGCUAACUACGUG
rnacentral:rRNA from 1 species